rnacentral:rRNA from 1 species
GACGAACGCUGGCGGCGUGCUUAACACAUGCAAGUCGAACGGAAAGGCCCUGCUUUUGUGGGGUGCUCGAGUGGCGAACGGGUGAGUAACACGUGAGUAACCUGCACCUGACUUUGGGAUAACCUCAGGCAACUGGGGCUAAUACCGGAUAGGAGCUCCUGCUGCAUGGUGGGGGUUGGAAAGUUUCGGCGGUUGGGGAUGGACUCGCGGCUUAUCAGCUCGUUGGUGGGGUAGUGGCUUACCAAGGCUUUGACGGGUAGCCAGCCGGGGAGGGAGACCGGCCACAGAGGCACUGAGGUAGAGCCAGGACUGAUACGUGAGGCAGGAGUGAGGAAUGGAGCACGGUGGGCGGGAGCCUGAUGGAGCAACGCCGCGUGCGUGAGGACGGCCUUCGGGUGGGAAGCCGAGUUCGCCUAUGACGAAGCGUGAUGGACGGAAAUGGAGAAUGAGGCACCGGCUAACUACGU